rnacentral:lncRNA from 1 species
UUGACCAAAAAAUCUUGAAAUUGCAGAUCACUUCCUUCAACUUUCAUUGAGUGCAAUUUGGUCCUCAAAGUUUGACUUUUAUUACAUUUAGGCCCUUCCAUAAUUGCACUUCAAGUCCUUUUCCUUCUCUUUUCGCUCGUUAUACUUCUUUCCGGGGUUUUAGCCUACAAAAGUAACAAUUACACAAUUAUAAAUAGAAAUCUACUCAAUUUUAUCAAUAAUAAAGUCCCAAAAAGUGCUAAAUAAGUGUGUAAAAACACAUUUAUCACACCCCCAAACUUGAGCUCUUGCUCGUCUCGAGCAAGAUUGACUUCUAACAUAAUCAUGCAAAUGUAAAAAUGAUCAACAUAUUAGAUACCUUGCCAUAAAUAUCGUAGAGUUCAAAAUUGUAUAUCAAUUCACAGCCAUACUUCCAAAUAAUGCUAUAAAAAAUAAUUACAGCUUAUCCCAUGUUCAAUCAGUGUGUGUGUGCAUAGUCAUUUUCAAUCAUCAUCUAAACUAAGAAAAGACUAUCAAGACAGUAAAAUUUCUAAAUUAGCACCAACUUGACCCUCAGUGGUCAAAUAUAUUCUUUCCGGCUUGUAAGAUUCACACUCAAAUACAGAUAUUCCACUUCAUUUCCCAAGUGUAAAUCUAAAGGUUGCUCUCAAACACUCUUUUCUUUAUCGAUCAAAAAUACUCAACUAGCAUACAUUCUCAGAUGAAGAUAAAGUAACUGAACAUGUAGAACCUCGCAAGAUAGUAUGAUCACUCACUCUCAAGUGUAUAAGAUUGGGUACUGUUUCGCUCAGAUCAUUCCAAUGAAAAUGUUCUACCAUAAGCUUGCAUAUUUUCUCAAUCGUCACCACUAAGAUCACAUGCAUUACAUAAAUCAUAAAGUCUUUUCAGAGCUGAAAUGUGGCUUAAGUUUAAGGUGUUGAAACAUUUGGAUGAAUGACUACGAAGCCUCAAAUAAAUCAGUGGAGUAAAAGAUAUUCAACUCAGCUCAACAUGGACAGGAUCUGUACACAACCCUAUCUCUCCAAUCAAUAACUUCUUACUUAUCAUCAAUUCAGCACAAUCACCCUUUUUCUUCUUUCAACUCUCAGGAGAACUUAUAAAUUUAAUCACUCAAAAUCAGUCUCCUCCACAUAUUUUCCCUUGUCAAUUUUUUUUUUUAUACACCAACAUAGCACCUCAAAUGAUAUUGAUACCCCCAAACUUCUUUUCUUUCACACCCAACAUUUAAUAAAACCAACAACACUCCACUAGCUUUGAGGGCUGGAUAAAGAUAUUGUUUUCUGGAAAUGAAAGCUUGUAAUGUGGGUAAACCAAAGAAAAGGCAAAUAGGCUCAAAGGGGUUAUCAAAGGAAAGAGUAAUUUCAUGGUAAGCUAUUUGGCUAAAGUGGUAACAAAAAUUGCCUUAAUCAUAUUCAUGUAUACAUGUAUCAAUGUGAUCUUGAAAAGAAGCAACGCAAGUUCUAGAGAAUCAUAAUCAUGGAAUAAUGUCACACCAGAAAGAAAUGAUGAGACUGUAAUAAAUGUCAGUCUAUCGGCUCAAAGUCUCACCAGCUUUUGUGUUCACCCUAUUCAGUUACUACAUCUUCAAUGAAAAUAACAAACUAGCUAAUUCAACAUAUCUCACAAUACAAGGUAAAAUGAAAGAGAAUAAGACAUAAGUUGAUAUACUGUUUCAGGUAACUCACAACCUAAGUUCUUACCAAUUCAAAAAUUUUCCAACAAACAGCUAUUUCCACAUCUAAAUGAUAAUUAAUCAUGACUAUGUUCAAUGUAACUCAAGAUCUCACAUAGAAUAAGCAAUUUUCGAAUCGAAAAUUUUUACACAUAAUAGCAUAUUUGGCACGCAUGCAUAGCUUAUGAAUCAAGAAAAAUUUCAACUUCAUUCAUUUCAAAGCCGGCAAGGCUCACCUAACAUGUCGAUAUAACACACAAAAAAUAUGUACAAACACAAAAAGAAAGCCGGUAAGGCUCUAACAUCUAGCAAAGCAAUAGCCGGCAAGGCUCAUCACCCCCAAACUUAAUUCACACAUUGUCCUCAAUGUGUAAAUAACAAGCUAAA